rnacentral:rRNA from 1 species
GACGAACGCUGGCGGCGUGCUUAACACAUGCAAGUCGAACGGUAAGGCCCUUCGGGGUACCCGAGUGGCGAACGGGUGAGUGACACGUGGGUACUCUGCCCUCCACUUCGUGAUAAGCCUGUGACACUGGGUCUACUACCCGAUAUUCAGUUCCUGCCGCAUAGUGGGGGUUUGAAAGUUUUUCGGUGCAUGAUGUGCCCGCGGCCUAUCCGCUCGUUUGUGGGUUAAUGGCCUACCAAGGCGACGACGGGUAGCCGGCCUGAGAGGGUGAACGGCCACACUGGGACUGAGAGACGGACCAGACUCCAACGGGAGGCAGCAGGGGGGAAUAUGGCACAAUGAGCGAGAGCGUGAUGCAGAGGCGCCGCGAGAGGGAUGAAGGUCUACGGAGUGUAAACCCCUGUCAGUAGGGACGAAGCGCAAGUGACGGUACCUGCAGAAGAAGCACCGGCCAACUACGUG